rnacentral:snRNA from 1 species
UGUGUGCGAGUCAACGGG